ensembl:antisense Cdk19os cyclin-dependent kinase 19, opposite strand
GGCGCUGCGCCGAUUGGAAGUUCCACCACGACCGUCACCAGCACAGGGCCAAACCGAGAAACCGGGACGCGGGGGCCGCCGCCACUCAGUCCCUCCUCCGCCGCCGCCGCUCCACUUCUCCAACAGCCGUCGCUCGGGCGCGCGCGCGCCGCCCGCCGCUCCGCGGUCCGCCUUUAGCAAGGGACUCCUCGGCGGCCGCGGCAGCCACCUCCUCCGCCUCCUCCUCCUCCGCGGCGGCGGCGGCGGCUCCCGCAGGCAUCCACAGUCCCGCCUCCUCCCUUCAUUUCCUUGUUUUGGAACCUGGUGGGCCGCGCCGCGGCUUUCUCGAACUCAUUAAGGAACCAAGCGUCCCGCCCCAAGGUCGCGAGCCAUUCUGGGAAAUGUAGUUCAAGAGGGUUCGUGAGUUGUGCUACCUCCUCGGGAGCGGGGAAUACAGUUCCCAGAGUUCCUGGGGCCUUUUGGGCCACGCCUCCACAAGGCAUGUACGCCUGCGCACUGCCGCCGCCCCACCCCCUCAGGUAGCGCGCGACUGCUGUUCCUGUAA